GGAGAUGUAGCUCAGCAGGUUGAGUACUUGCCUAGCAGGCAUGAAGCCCUGGGUUCAAUUCCCAACACCA
rnacentral:tRNA from 1 species